rnacentral:rRNA from 1 species
AGAGUUUGUAUCCUGGCUCAGAUUGAACGCUGGCGGCAUGCCUUACACAUGCAAGUCGAACGGGGGUAGCAAUACCCUAGUGGCGAACGGGUGAGUAAAGCAUCGGAAGUACCCAGUCUGGGGGAUAACGUAGCGAAAGUUACGCUAAUACCGCAUACGAUCUGAGGAUGAAAGCAGGGGACUCGCAAGAGCCUUGCGCGAUUGGAGCGGCCGAUGUCGGAUUAGCUAGUUGGUGGGGUAAAAGCCUACCAAGGCGACGAUCCGUAGCUGGUCUGAGAGGAUGAUCAGCCACACUGGGACUGAGACACGGCCCAGACUCCUACGGGAGGCAGCAGUGGGGAAUUUUGGACAAUGGGGGAAACCCUGAUCCAGCCAUGCCGCGUGAGUGAAGAAGGCCUUCGGGUUGUAAAGCUCUUUCAGACGGAAAGAAAUGGUCUUGGCUAAUACCCGAGAUCGAUGACGGUACCGUAAGAAGAAGCACCGGCUAACUACGUG